rnacentral:rRNA from 1 species
UAUGCUUACCCCUAAACUCAGAUAAUAAUAUUACUAACAUUAUCCGCCCGGGAACUACGAGCACUAGCUUAAAACCCAAAGGACUUGGCGGUGCUUAACACCCCCCUAGAGGAGCCUGUUCUAGAACCGAUACCCCUCGUUAAACCUCACCCCUUCUUGUCUAAUCCGCCUAUAUACCGCCGUCGUCAGCUUACCCCGUGAGGGACCUAUAGUAAGCCCAAUUAGUUUUAACCCAAAACGUCAGGUCGAGGUGUAGCAAAUGAAGGGGGAAGAAAUGGGCUACAUUUCCUGCAAUCAGGAUAAACGGAGAAUGUUUUGAAAGAAGCAUUAUGAAGGAGGAUUUAGUAGUAAGAAGGGAAUAGAGAGCCCAUCUGAAACCGGCCCUUAAGCGCGCA